rnacentral:rRNA from 1 species
GACGUAGGGCGCAAGCGUUGUCCGGAUUUAUUGGGCGUAAAGAGCUCGUAGGCGGUUUGUCGCGUCGGCCGUGAAAUCUCCACGCUUAACGUGGAGCGUGCGGUCGAUACGGGCAGACUUGAGUUCGGUAGGGGAGACUGGAAUUCCUGGUGUAGCGGUGAAAUGCGCAGAUAUCAGGAGGAACACCGGUGGCGAAGGCGGGUCUCUGGGCCGAUACUGACGCUGAGGAGCGAAAGCGUGGGGAGCGAACAGG